GGAGGGCAGCCUGACCUGGAGGGGAGUGGGUAUGGCUUGCUUAAUGGGAGGCUGUGCUAUAUAAACUUGUGACCACCAAACCCGUAGACGUGUAGAUCGCUUCAAGGCCCACUGGGUAGGAGCUCUUCCAAAACACAGAUAGUUUCCCUAGGAGCACCACAGAGAGCUAGCCUGCAAGUGGAAAGUGCACGGAUACAACAUGGGAACAGGACGCGGUCCCUGAACGCCACCAGCUUCCUGCCCCGGUGUGUGACAGCGCAGAAUGUCUUGUCGUAUUUCCUCAGGGACAAGCUGACCCUCUGUAGAGGAAUGUUUCGUGGACUGACUUCUUUUGACUUUCAAUGGAGAAGAGCCAAGAAGAGGAGCGCUUGGGAACGUGAGUUGAGGCAUAACUUCUGAGCCGGAGGCCAGAAUUCCCAUUGAGGUUUUCACUUCCGCAAAAAGUGUUUGUUCAUCUUCUCACAUAAAGAGGAUAAUGACAUGGACAGUGAGAGGUGACGGUGGCAGAUCCUGAUGUGCACUCAACUGUUUCCCCAGUGUUGCUGUGUAGAACCUUCGGCUGUAGCAUGGUGCCACCUGCCAGUGACAAACAAGGAAGAAUGGGGCGGAAGAGGUGAAGAGGAAGGAAGGGAGGAAUCCCACAGUCCGUCCAUCCAGUUGAGUAGACUGACAUACAAACCACACACCACCACGUGCCGUCAGGAACCGGCUCAUUUCCAGCAUCCAGCAAGUCAUCAGCUGUACAAGGCACCAGUUUCCUGAAAGACAGGAUGUCUCAGUCCCCAGAGAAAUUCAUGGAAUGGCCCUGUGACUAGUGCUCAGGCGGGCUAGGAAGAGCCGUCAUCUAAACUACAUUCUCUUGAAAGUCCCACUUCUCAAAGGCUUCUUGUUUGCAUUUUUGCAUGCAAUUUGCGUAUCUCUAGACUCUAGAGGACAUCAUAACCUAUUUUCUUCUAAAGGUUAUUUUAUUACAC